rnacentral:tRNA from 1 species
GUCUCUGUGGCCGACUUAGAAAGGCACCGAUCUCGUAAAUCGGAUCAUGUGAGCGCAAAUCUCACCAGAGGCUCCA